CUUGGUCAUUUAGAGGAAGUAAAAGUCGUAACAAGGUUUCCGUAGGUGAACCUGCGGAAGGAUCAUUACUGAAUUGUAAACAAGGGUUGUUGCUGGUCCUCAAAUGGGGACAUGUGCACGCUCUGUUCACACAUCCAAUCACACCUGUGCACCCUCUGCGGUUCUGUGGUCAAGGGGGGCUUUGCCUUCCUGUGCCGUGGUUCUGCUUCUUUACACACACACACUGUAACAAAGUCUUGUGGAAUGUAUGCCGCGUUUAACGCAAUACAGUACAACUUUCAGCAACGGAUCUCUUGGCUCUCGCAUCGAUGAAGAACGCAGCGAAAUGCGAUAAGUAAUGUGAAUUGCAGAAUUCAGUGAAUCAUCGAAUCUUUGAACGCAUCUUGCGCUCCUUGGUAUUCUGAGGAGCAUGCCUGUUUGAGUGUCAUUAAAUUCUCAACUACACUGACUUUGAUCAGUGUGGCUUGGAUUUGGGGGGGAUUGUGUGUGGGCUUUUUGUGGUCUGCUCCCCUGAAAUUAAUUAGCGGUACCUUGGGUGGAACUGUCUACCGGUGUGAUAAUUAUCUACAUCCUAGACAUCUGCUGGAAUGCUGCUUUCUAAACCUCACUUGUAUUGACAAUCUUGACCUCAAAUCAGGUAGGACUACCCGCUGAACUUAAGCAUAUCAAUAAGCGGAGGA
rnacentral:rRNA from 1 species